rnacentral:sRNA from 1 species
GAUAUCAGGGGAAAAAGGUCAAAGAGUCGUUCGUGCUUGCACGAUAAGACUUUUGAACUUGGGACCCGCCAAACAUGAGAAAGUAGCGAUUUACGCAGUAAAUCAGCGGAUUUCUCAUGUUUGAGAAUUGCGGGAGUUGCUUUGCAACGGAGCAAUUCGUGGA